rnacentral:tRNA from 1 species
UCCCGUGUGGCUCAGUUGGUAGAGCAUGGUGUUUGCAACGCCAGGGUUGGGGUUCGAUUCCCACGGGGGAC